CGCUUCGUGGCGGAAUUGGUAGACGCGACCGUUUGAGGAGCAGUUGUUCAACGAACGUGCAGGUUCGAGUCCUGCCGAAGCAU
rnacentral:tRNA from 1 species